AAACAGAGUUAACUCACGCUUUUUUCAUGUUUUUGUGGUAUUACAAGAUAUUCAAUGUAAAACGUAAUUCAAUAUUAUAGUUGUAAUAUAAUUUAGCAGUUUGAACAUUUAAUUAUUAACAGCGCUACCAUGCAAAAGUUGAAGCCGUGCGCCUGCGUUUUGAAAUAUUGUGAUCGGGAGUCUCCUGGCCGGAGUGUCACAAAGUGUAGUAGCAAGAACUUAAAAUGUUUACCAGAGAACAAUGUUGCUUCCUUGGAGCAGGUAACAGCAGACUGGCUGUAAUAAAUACUGCACGAGGAGUUGUCGACCUCUCUUAACGUCUGCAGAACAAUAUCGAUACGUCCGGUAUUCCAUCUACCGAAUCGAACCGUUGCCUCAUUCGACUGCAACAACAUAGCAUUAGUCAUAGAAGGCCAUGUGUUAAACCCCUUUUGAAGCUGUUACACAGACGGAAUAGAGUCCUAUAAUGCAACAGGUUUGGAGGGGGUUGGGUGUGCCGUAAAUUGCGCUUGUUCCGUGAUGAGCCCCGUUCUAAAAAGUGAACACCUUCGGUUGAAGGUGUGCCAUUAUGUCGGCUAUCUCUAAUAAACAUAACACGGAAUUUGUACAUAUUUCGGGUAAUUGACAGGCUCCUAACUCACCUUAUGCGGACAGUUUGAGAUUCUGAUGCGUAGGACACA
rnacentral:lncRNA from 1 species